rnacentral:rRNA from 1 species
AAAGCACAAGGUGGAUGCCUUGGCUCUAGGAAGCGAUGAAGGACGCGAUAGGCUGCGAAAAGUUGCGGGGAGGUGCGAAUAACCUUUGAUCCGCAAAUAUCCGAAUGGGGCAACCCAACAUGCGUUAUGGUAUGUUAUUCCUUGCUGAAUACAUAGGUAAGGGAAGCGAACGCGGGGAACUGAAACAUCUAAGUACCCGUAGGAAAGGAAAUCAACCGAGAUUCCGUUAGUAGCGGCGAGCGAAUGCGGACUAGCCCAAACCAUAGGUUUUUUGCUUAUGGGGUUGUAGGGGCCUCAAUAAUAUGAUGAAAAGAUUAUAGAAGAAUGUUCUGGAAAGUACAGCCAUAGAAGGUAAAAGCCCUGUAAUUGAAAUGAUCUCUCACUAAGAGGAUUCCCUGAGUAGAGCGGGACACGAGAAAUCUUGCUUGAAUCUGGGUGGACCAUCAUCCAAGGCUAAAUAUUCCCUAGAGACCGAUAGUGAACCAGUACCGUGAGGGAAAGGCGAAAAGAACCCCUAUAAGGGGAGUGAAAUAGAUCCUGAAACCUUGUGCUAAUAAGCAGUGGGAGCGUUUAAUGCAUUUUUUGCUUGCGAAAAAUGCAUUGUGUGGCGUGACCGCGUGCCUUUUGCAUAAUGAGCCAACGAGUUAUUUUUAGUGGCAAGGUUAAGCUUUUUUAGCGAAGCCGUAGUGAAAGCGAGCCUUAAUAGGGCGUUGAGUCGCUAGUAAUAGACCCGAAACCGAGUGAUCUAUCCCUGUCCAGGUUGAAGCAAAGGUAAGACUUUGUGGAGGACCGAACCAGUAGGCCUUAAAAAGUCUUUGGAUGAGGUGGGGAUUGGAGUGAAAGGCUAAUCAAACUCGGAAAUAGCUGGUUCUCCCCGAAAUAUAUUUAGGUAUAGCGUUUCAAAUUAACUGCCGGAGGUAAAGCACUGAAUAGACUAGGGGGUCUCACCGACUUACCAAACCUAACCAGACUCUGAAUGCUGGCAAGUUUGAUUGGAGCAGUCAGACUAUGUGAGAUAAGUCUCAUAGUCGAAAGGGAAACAGCCCAGAUCGUCAGCUAAGGCCCCUAAAUGUACAUUAAGUGGAAAAGGAUGUGGAAAUACUCUGACAGCCAGGAGGUUAGCUUAGAAGCAGCUAUCCUUUAAAGAAAGCGUAAUAGCUCACUGGUCAAGCGGGUCCGCGCCGAAAAUAUAACGGGGCUAAAUGUACUGCCGAAGCUACGAGUUGUGCUUGCACAACGGUAGGGGAGCGUUCUAUGUGGGUUGAAGCAGAAUCGUAAGGCUCUGUGGACUUCAUAGAAGUGAUUAUGUUGGCAUAAGUAACGAAAAAACGAGAUAGAAACUCGUUCGCCGAAAACCCAAGGUUUCCUAAGCCAUGUUAAACAGCUUAGGGUUAGUCGGCUCCUAAGGUGAGGCAGAAAUGCGUAGUCGAAGGGAAACUGGUUAAUAUUCCAGUACUUGUAUAUACUGCGAUGAAGUGACGCAAACAGAUAGGUCAGGCAUCGGAUGGAAGUGGUGCUUUAAAAGUGUAGCUUGGAAACAUAGGCAAAUCCGUGUUUCUAUAAGUGAGGCUUGAAUACGAGGAGCUUGCUCCAUAAAGUGAUUGAUUCUAUGUUGCCGAGAAAUAGCUUCUAAGCUUCAGGUAUAUACGAACCGUACCGCAAACCGACACAGGUAGGUGAGGAGAGAAUCCUAAGGCGCUUGAGAUAAACCAUGCUAAGGAACUCUGCAAAAUGAGUCCGUAACUUCGGGAUAAGGACUGCCGAUGGUAUUUAAGCAUUCUUUGCGAAUGUGAGGAGAAGUCGGUCGCAGUGAAAAGACCCAGGCGACUGUUUAGCAAAAACAUAGCACUCUGCAAACACGUAAGUGGAAGUAUAGGGUGUGACUCCUGCCCGGUGCCGGAAGGUUAAGAGGAAGGGUUAGUGUAUGCGAAGCUCUGAAUUGAAGCCCCGGUAAACGGCGGCCGUAACUAUAACGGUCCUAAGGUAGCGAAAUUCCUUGUCGGGUAAGUUCCGACCUGCACGAAUGGAGUAACGAUCUGGGUGCUGUCUCAGUGUGGUCCUCAGUGAAAUUGAAAUAGCGGUGAAGAUACCGUUUACCCGCGGCAAGACGGAAAGACCCCGUGAACCUUUACUAUAGCUUGGCAUUGAGUUUUGAAAUAUCGUGUGCAGGAUAGGUGGGAGGCUUUGAUGGGUAUGCGCCAGCAUGCUUUUAGCCAUCCUUGAGAUACCACCCUCGAUCUUUUAGAGUUCUAACUCGUUCCCGUUAUCCGGGAAGAAGACAGUGUCUGGUGGGUAGUUUGACUGGGGCGGUCGCCUCCUAAAGAGUAACGGAGGCGCGCAAUGGUUCCCUCAGGCGGUAUGGAAACCCGCUGUAGAGUGCAAAGGCAUAAGGGAGCUUGACUGCGAGAGAGACAUUUCGAGCAGGUGGGAAACCAGGUCUUAGUGAUCCGGUGGUUCCUUAUGGAAGGGCCAUCGCUCAACGGAUAAAAGGUACUCCGGGGAUAACAGGCUUAUCGCGCUCAAGAGUUCAUAUCGACAGCGCGGUUUGGCACCUCGAUGUCGGCUCAUCGCAUCCUGGGGCUGUAGCAGGUCCCAAGGGUAUGGCUGUUCGCCAUUUAAAGCGGUACGCGAGCUGGGUUCAGAACGUCGUGAGACAGUUCGGUCCCUAUCUGCCGUGGGCGUUGGAAAUUUGAGAGGGUCUGCUCUUAGUACGAGAGGACCGGAGUGGACAAACCUAUGGUGUUCCAGUUGUUCCGCCAGGGGCAUAGCUGGGUAGCUACGUUUGGAAAGGAUAACCGCUGAAAGCAUAUAAGCGGGAAGCCAGCCUCAAGAUAGAUUUCCCUUAGAUUUUAAAUCUUCUUAAGGUCACAGUAAGACUAACUGUUUGAUAGGCAGGGGGUGAAAGCGCAGUAAUGUGUGAAGCUGACCUGUACUAACCGACCGUGAGGCCUGUUU